GACAGAGGAUGCAAGCGUUAUCCGGAAUGAUUGGGCGUAAAGCGUCUGUAGGUGGCUUUUUAAGUCCGCCGUCAAAUCCCAGGGCUCAACCCUGGACAGGCGGUGGAAACUACCAAGCUGGAGUACGGUAGGGGCAGAGGGAAUUUCCGGUGGAGCGGUGGAAAUGCGUAGAGAUCGGAAAGAACACCAACGGCGAAAGCACUCUACUGGGCCAUUACUGACACUGAGAGACGAAAGCUAGGGGGAGCGAAUGGG
rnacentral:rRNA from 1 species